CCCCACCUGGCCAGCACUCUCCAUGUAGCAGUAAAGACUUCCUGGCCUCCAAACAUCGACGUCGGAGGAAUCGAACAUUGGAUAAUAAAACAGGCUCAAGAACUAAUUAUGAUUCUUAUCCGCACGUGUUAGGCCAGAAUAUAUUACCGCCAUUUUGCGUGCCAUCCACAUGCCCACCAAGCCUAUGUCACAUCAUCUUCCUUACCAACUGUGCGCUGACUAAAGAUCUACUUGCCAACUGACAUUAUACGUAUGGCUCAUUGCGUCACCAAUCUCCCU
rnacentral:lncRNA from 1 species